rnacentral:rRNA from 1 species
UAGGGAAUAUUAGUAAUGGGCGAAAGCCUGAACUAGCAACACCGCGUGUGCGAAGAAGGCCUUCGGGUUGUAAAGCACUUUUUGAGAGGAUGAGGAAGGACGGUACUCUCAGAAUAAGUCUCGGCUAACUACGUGCCAGCAGCCGCGGUAACACGUAGGAGGCAAACGUUAUCCGGAUUUACUGGGCGUAAAGCGCGUGUAGGUGGUUCUGUAAGUAGGGCGUGAAAGCUCCUGGCUCAACUGGGAGAGGCCGUUCUAAACUGCAGAGCUAGAGGAUGGUAGAGGGAGGUGGAAUUCCGGGUGUAGCGGUGGAAUGCGCAGAUAUCCGGAGGAACACCAGUGGCGAAAGCGGCCUCCUGGACCAUUCCUGACACUCAGACGCGAAAGCUAGGGUAGCAAACG